AAGAGACAGCAGUCGCCACGGGAAUACGAAGGGGGCUAGCGUUGUUCGGAUUUACUGGGCGUAAAGCGCACGUAGGCGGAUCGAUCAGUCAGGGGUGAAAUCCCAGAGCUCAACUCUGGAACUGCCUUUGAUACUGUCGAUCUGGAGUAUGGAAGAGGUGAGUGGAAUUCCGAGUGUAGAGGUGAAAUUCGUAGAUAUUCGGAGGAACACCAGUGGCGAAGGCGGCUCACUGGUCCAUUACUGACGCUGAGGUGCGAAAGCGUGGGGAGCAAACAGGAUUAGAUACCCGCGUAGUCCCUGUCUCUUAUAC
rnacentral:rRNA from 1 species